GCCUGCCCACUGAUAUUGGUUUAAGGGCCGCGGUAAUCUAACCGUGCGAAGGUAGCAUAAUCAAUAGUCUUUUAAUUGAAGGCUCGAAUGAAGGGUUUGACGAUAGAGAAACUGUCUCCUUCACUAAUAUUAAACUUAACCUCUAUGUGAAAAGGCAUAAAUGCUACAGGGGGACGAUAAGACCCUAUAAAACUUUAUAUGCAAAGACUUGUCGCAGAAUCAAUUAAAUAAAUACUCGUCUCGCAUAUUGAACUGGGGUGGUUGAAAUAUAAACAGUAACUGUUUCUCAAAAUCUAAUACAUAUAAGUAUUCCUUGAACCUUUAAAUAUAAAGAUUAAGAGAUUAAGUUACUUUAGGGAUAACAGCGUAAUUUUCUCUGAGAGUCCCUAUCGACGAGACGAGUUGCGACCUCGAUGUUGAAUUAAGGUAUACUUCCAGGUGCAGAAAUUUGGAAAAGUGGGUCUGUUCGACCUUUAAUCCCUUACAUGAUUUGAGUUUAGACCGGCGUGAG
rnacentral:rRNA from 1 species